AAGCAUACCCCUUAUGUAGGUCGCCAGCUAGAAUCGACAAAAAUACAUCGGUGCAAAGAAAUCGGCACACUCUCACAAGUGACUUCCACGGCAGCACAACAGGAAGCGGCAGCGGAGUGGUUCCGAAGCAAAUCAGGAGUACGACAACAAUCGAGAGGAAGAUGCGGAGGCUGCUCUACUUCACCGUGCUGCUGCUGUGCUUCCUUUGCGGUUGUCCACGAAGUGAGGCAACUGAGCAAGAUGAUUCGACGUACAGCCUCUCCAGUAUCAUGACACUUGUAGGCGACCUUGCCAAUAUUACACAGAUUAAGGAGGUGAUGCAAAAGGCGACGCACGGAGUGGUCACCAAAAAAGCGUGCGACAUAUGCCACGGCAUCGUCGGCAUCGUUACGAACUAUAUCCAGACAGGAAAGUCAUUAGCCAGUUUGAUCAGCCUCAUAAAGAACGGGUGUGCUUUCUUGGGGAUGGC